ACGCCCACGCCGGCCGCUGAGACCGCCGGCCCGAGCCGUGGCCCUCCUGGCUACGUGCCCGUCCCGAUGCGUGCCUUCGCGGACGAGGAGGCCGUGCUCGACUUCGUCUCUGCGCCCACCGGCGCCUCCGGCGUCAUCCACCUCGGUGUAGGGAUGGAAGGUGCCGACGCCUCAGCCCCGCCGCCGCUGGACAUGGUCGCGGGAUCGGACGGCAUCGCGUUGCGACGCUUCGGCCGCCUCUUCGGGCGUGCCGUGGCCGGCCUCGACCGCCGUCCUGGUCGCCGCCCCGGCUCAUGGGCUCCGGCGAGCCUUGGUCUCGCCGCCGCCCCGCCUCAGGCUGGUCGCCGAGCUCCUGCUGCUGU
rnacentral:lncRNA from 1 species